rnacentral:rRNA from 1 species
AACGAACGCUGGCGGCAGGCCUAACACAUGCAAGUCGAACGCUCGUAGCAAUACGAGAGUGGCAGACGGGUGAGUAACACGUGGGAACCUUCCCUAUGGUUCGGAAUAGCCCAGGGACACUUGGGGUAAUACCGGAUAAGCCCUUACGGGGAAAGAUUCAUCGCCAUUGGAUGGGCCCGCGUCGGAUUAGCUAGUUGGUGGGGUAACGGCUCACCAAGGCGACGAUCCGUAGCUGGUCUGGGAGGAUGAUCAGCCACACUGGGACUGAGACACGGCCCAGACUCCUACGGGAGGCAGCAGUGGGGAAUAUUGGACAAUGGGCGCAAGCCUGAUCCAGCCAUGCCGCGUGAGUGACGAAGGCCUUAGGGUUGUAAAGCUCUUUUGGCGGGGAAGAUAAUGACGGUACCCGCAGAAUAAGCUCCGGCUAACUUCGUGCCAGCCGCCGCAGUAA